UCACUUCUGUGGCCAAGUGGUUAAAACGUCCACCUUGGAUGCGGGAGAACGUGGGUUCGAUCCCCAGUCGAGUCAU